CUCUCUCACCAUUCCUGCAGGUUCCUCAGUGAAGCAGAGGCUGAGGUCCUAGUCUGCCCUCUGCCACCCACCCAGGCGGUCUCCUCCCAGCAGGUGCAGUCAGGAGGUCAAGCUGCGUUUCUUUCCAGCAGGUGGGAAGCAGAACCAUGCUGGGUCCCCUUGCCCUCCUGUGCUCUCUCCUGUUUCCCGGUGGCGGAGUAGGGCUCAAGCUGGAGCAGCCUGCUUUGGUGAUGGUGCGCUUGCCUUUGAAACCCUCAGCCACAUUGACUUGCAAAGUUGACAGCUCGGUCAGCUACAUCCACUGGUACCGCCACCAGGAGGGGAUGGCCCCCAGGAGGCUCCUCUACCUAGAGAUGUCCAGUUCCAAAGUGGAGAGGGAUUUUCCUAUGAAUGCGGACAAAGUCAAUGCUGAGAAGGGCAGCGAUGGCUACAGCUGUAGUCUGUCGGUGCUGAAACUGAGGAAGAGCGACGAGGGCGUGUACUACUGCGCUGCCUGGGGGAUCUCCUUUAGCUGGGAAAACAAAGUGUUUGGUCCCGGCACAAUUCUCAGGGUUACAGAUAAAAGCCCUGAUGAGGACAUAUCCCCCAAGCCCACAGUUUUUCUUCCUUCAAUUGCUGAAAUAAAAGUCCAGAAGGCUGGAACAUAUCUUUGUCUUCUUGAGGAUUUUUUCCCUGACAUUAUCGAGAUAGAUUGGCAAGAAAAGGAUGACAAAACAAUUCUGACAUCGCAGCAGGGAGACACCAUGAAGACUAAGGACACGUACAUGAAAUUCAGCUGGCUGACCGUGACUGAAGCGUCACUGGAUAAAGAACACAAAUGUAUCGUCAAACAUGAGAGUGAUAGAACAAAGGUUAAUCAAGAGAUUCUUUUUCCUUCAAUAGACAAAGAUUUGAUGGCAGCGACGGAAUCCGAAGGGGACUCCCAGGGCCAUUCAGGGACAAAGCAAAACACAGAAGUGGUAACUGUGAGCCCUGUGAGUUCAGAAUCCUUCUCGCCUAUUCCAAGCGCUGUGGAGCCCACUAUUAACUCCACCAAAGAUUCUCUGACUGAUGAAAAUGCCACCCUGCAGCUGCAGCUCACGAACACGUCUGCCUACUACACCUACGUCCUCCUUCUCCUCAAGAGCCUGGUCUACUCCGCCAUCACGGCCGUCUGUCUGAUUGGGAGACCAGCGCUCUGUGGCAAUGGGAAGAGUUCCUAACACAUAGUGACAACAAGGAUCCCUUAUGUCCCUUGGCUAUUGUCCCUAAAAAUGUCUGCUGAGGAUCUAGUGGGACUUCUUUCUGAGAUUGGGUUAUUUCAGUUCACAUGUGUCUUUUUCUCUUGUGUCAUUAUUGCAGAAUGGGUUUACAAAUCAUUGGGCAAACAGAAACUUUCACUCUGCAGCAAGAACAAAUGCUGCCAUGACUCAGGGGCAGGGCCGGGGUACCAUCCACAGGGGCUUCCAGCACCGCUUUCUUCUUAGUGUCCACCAGCCCCUCAGCCACCCAGUCCCCAUGCCUCGGUGCACAGCCAGCAUGCACCUUACAGCUGCAUCCCCUGGACUCUUUCACCAGAUAACUGCCUGGAAGCCGCCGUCCUUGCCACCUGCAGUUUGUAGUGGUUUUCAAAAUAGGCACAAUAAAAGCAAUGAAAAGUCUA